GAAGGGUCUCGGCGAAAUGGACGUAGCCGACCGACAUGUUGCAUAAGUUCAACAUGGUUACGAAUUGAAUUCAGUUUAAUAGUGCGAUAAUUUUAUACCUAUUAAUUUCAAGUGUUUGUAAUUGUGCCCUUAUCAAGUCUAAUUUACAUGAGAAAUUGGAACUGGUGCAGCACCGUUUACAGGAGAAAAGUGAAGGUUUCGAAAUAGACAAUGGAAUUUAGUAAAGAUGGAAAGUGUUUGAACAUCAUAUUGCUCUGCUAAGGGCCUAAUCAGGGAAGACAAAUGAAUUCGAAAAUGACAUUGUCUACGGCAGAGCUUUAGAAGGAACAUUAUCUCUACAUGGCAGCAAUAGUGACCAUAAGUCGUUUGCGAUCACUAUGCAAAGGGCAAGUGUAUCAGGACUUAAUCGGGGAUCUGUUUAUUAAACUCUUUGCUGCCUGCAGCCUUUGUGUUGUCAGUGAGGAUAAAAGUAUGAAGUAAGAUGUUGCAUUAUGGACUCGCCGACAUACAUAUUGUGGAAUAUGUGCAUUCUUGAAGGAAAUAACAAGGAUGCUCUGCAAUUCCUACAGUGAAUGAAACAAUAUGGACUUGCCGAUAUACAUAUUGUAGAACAUGUGCAUUCUUGAAAGAAAUAACAAGGGUGAUGCUCUACAAAUCGUACAGUGAAUCAAACAAUGUGGACUUGUCGACAUGCAUAUUGGGGAAUAUGUGCAUUCCUGAAGAAAAUAACGUGACAAGCAAUCGUGGGCCCUAACUGAAGAGAACCAUUUCAAAGAAUGGAACCAAUGUAUUCUUACCGUAGGAUUUCAAAGAGGCUGCUGCUUUUAUUAAAUUUGAAAUAAUCCUCACUCGAACAAUACAAUAUACCUUUGGUGCAUUUGGUGCAAAUGGAUUGGCUUGAAUAACUAAACACGUCAAGACGAGAACUGUUGGAAGAAAACCAGGCAAAUCAGAGGAUGCAUGAUUUCAAAUCCUAGAAUUACUAGUAAAUGGCUACCUAAUCAAAGACUUUGAAUCAAAUAUAGAGAAUACCGGCAAUGCAAAACAAAGAAUAUUAGAAAAACAUCAUUAGCUAUGAAAUAUGCUGCAGCUGGCUGCUACUGCAAUUCUUGGUCAACUCUCAAAAUAAAUGGAAGGCUCUCGUGCUUCUUGAUAGUGAAGGUUUCGAAAUAGACAAUGGAUGGAAGAGAAAAACCACAUGAGUAGUACUACAUAUAUGAUACAAAAUUUAAUGCAAUUUAUUUUAUAUUCCAGUUGAAAGUGAUGACAAUACAGCCA